rnacentral:rRNA from 1 species
UGCUGGAUGCGGCCUAUGCUGCUCAGUGCGCGUUGGGGAGGCUGUCGUGUCAAAAGCGACGGUUUCUAAUCCCUUCUGUGGCCCAUGGUCACGUUAAUUGGCGCGAGGGCUUAUGCCCCGCCCCGUGCUUCACAUGUUCGAGUCGGGUGUGAAGCGCGUGUCCCUACCGAACAGCAAUUAAAUAUAUGGGACUUCAUUGAUCGCUGGGAUGCCUUGUAUUGCACGAUGGCGUAAGACCCGCGAGGCCACGGCCAUACUAUCAAUAUAACUAUCAUGAAACAUACAGUUAAUUACAACUGGUAGCGUUGGAUCCCUCGGCAUGGCUAUCGAUGAAGAACGCGGCCAGCUGCGAAAUGUGAUGUGAAUUGCAACUCAAAGCGGUUAUCGUGAAUCAUUGACUAUUUGAACGCAUUGCACCGCCCUUUUGGGAGUGGUACACCCGAUUGAGAGUCAUAAUGACCUUCAGGCUGGGAUACUUGGUCAUUCGAUUGGCGGGUAUAUGGACGCUGCACCCCAUCUCUCAUCAGGUGGCAGAGGCGUCUGUGUAUGAGUGUCUUGGCUCUGGCUUCGAGGCUGCACGGUAUUCGUAUCGCGUGCCUUCAGAUGCAUGAGUGAUGACCAUGAGAGCGAGUCGGACUCUGUGUAAUAAUCAUUUCACGCAGAGGAGUGCUUUGGCACACUUGUUCCUUGUGGCAUGGCUUCAAA